rnacentral:rRNA from 1 species
AUUGAACGCUGGCGGCAGGCCUAACACAUGCAAGUCGAACGCGUGGCGGACGGGUGAGUAAUGUAUGGGAAACUGCCUGAUGGAGGGGGAUAACUCCUGGAAACGGUAGCUAAUACCGCAUACCAUCGGAUCUGCCCAUAUGGGAUUAGCUAUUGGGUGGGGUAAAGGCUCACCUAGGCGACGAUCCCUAGCUGGUCUGAGAGGAUGACCAGCCACACUGGGACUGAGACACGGCCCAGACUCCUACGGGAGGCAGCAGUGGGGAAGAUUGCACAAUGGGCGCAAGCCUGAUGCAGCCAUGCCGCGUGUAUGAAGAAGGCCCUCGGGUUGUAAAGUACUUUCAGUCGGGAGGCGUUACCGGCAGAAGAAGCACCGGCUAACUCCGUGCCAGCCGCCGCGGUAAUAC